AGCCUCCUGAUGCUUACCACAGGCUGUGUUCUUACAUUGACUGUGUAGAAGGAGGAGGCAAAGUAAAUCUACCCCAUAUACACCUCAGUCCAGGCCUUAUGCCUGAUCUUUACUGUGAAUGGGGAGACAACA
rnacentral:snoRNA from 1 species